GCUCUGGUGGCCUAGUGGUUAGAGCAUCCGCCUCAGAUGCGGGAGGUUGUGGGUUCGCUCCCCGGUCGUGUCAUACUAAAGACU